UGACUUUGAAAUCACUGGUUUUAGGCAACGGCAGUGCAAUACCUUGGGCGGCCUGAGUGAGGGCGUGGCGCUGUCGCAAACCGAGCUCCCGGCGUUUGAGCGUGUGUAGCACUGCGCGGUUAGGCCGCAUGUGAUGUGAGCUGCAGUGUGCUCGUGUGCUUUGUCAGCUGUGAAACAUCCUCGAGUCUCAAUUUAAUACCUUAUUCCCAGCGAGAAAAAAAAGGUUAAGCAGAAAAAUGCCAAAGAAAUCAAAAGAAGUCGCUGAGUGGGAGGGUGAUGAUGAACCACAAACAGACAAACAUGUCAAAAAAGGAAAGAAGGAUAAGAAGGUGAAGAAAAGUUUUUUUGAGGAGCUGGCAUCAGAUAAUAAACCAGAAAAAGUAGAACAACCACCAGUGAAAGAGGCACAAGGGAAACAGGUGCAUUAUUUCAAUUUCAGUGUUUUACAAUACAUUAUAUAAAGUAAAAAAAAAAAAAAAGAUUAGAUUAAAUUUAAAAUUAAUAUUUAAACUAAUCGAUAUGUAUAAGAGACAGAUAAUGUAAUUAAUUACAGUAUUUUUUGCGAUUAAGUUAUAGCGUUUGUGCAUUUAUACUAAAUGUAUUUUUCAUACAAAUAUCUAGAAACCGUAGUUACAUCGUUAUAUUGUUACCAUGGUAUUAAGGUGCUGUAUGUGUGGUUUUAACUCUCAUGAUCUAAAUGUAUGCUACUAUUGAAGACCAGUUGUUAAUUUUAAUAAAACUCAGUCAGAAUAAUUAAAUUUCACCAUAUAAAAAUGAGCUUGUUACAAUUUUUACAGAUGUUGCUGUUUUUGAUAAUGAAUUUAAAUUUACAUCUGCAUCCUAACUAAAGCUACUACUGUCAACUCAAGUCAAGCUACUGUCACAUGUGCAUUUCUAAGAGACAGAAAUGAAGUAUUAUUAAUAUUGCAGCCUGCACUGCAAACUGUGCUGAAGAUACGCAUCAUCAAAGUCAGGAAGACAAACCUGUUUCAUGAUUUGAAACUAUAUCACUCAUUAGAACAUGCAGAUACUAAGAAAUUAAAUUUUCUAUAUUUAUAUUCAUUUUGUUAAGAAUGACUGGAAAAGUGUAAAGAAUUCAAAAGCGUGAAGUGCUAGUCAUGUUCUGAUCUUAAAGAGAUGUUUAAAACCACAAUAAAUGGCCUGGUUUCACUUAAGGCGGGUGUACACGGUGCGAUUUUUGCUGUCGUACGAGCUCACAGGUAAUUUUUUCCUCUCGUGAGAAAAUCGCAGAUGCUCGCAUGGUCGGGGCUCGUAACAUGUGAGAAUAAUUACGGGCCGAUCCGAGAAUGAUACGAGCACCUCACGAUCUCCCGAUAAUUUUCAAAGAUGUAAAAAAAAUCGUAUGCUGUCGUUUUAAAUUCGUGGCAUAUGUGCGGUUGUACGAGAUGAUUUGGCGAUCCAUCUGAAGUUGACCAAUCAGAAGA
rnacentral:lncRNA from 1 species